CUGCAAUUUUGAGUGCCUCUUACAUGGGCUUCAUAAGGAAUAAAGACACUGCAUCUUUUGUACUUUCAACAAAAAUUGUCAGUGAGCAACAAUCUACUGAUAAACCUGUGAACAGAAAUCAUGCUGAAUAAGAAUGAGAAAUGGAGAAAUAAGAUAUCUGUCCUUUGGACAAUAAAUCUGGGUAUUAAAGGGAUGACGCUUUGUUGCAUUGAGGAGUUGGCAAUAGAUUUCUCUCUUUGAUUUCAUCUUAAUGAUGCUGUGUGCUUGGCAAGUAGCUGAAUUUUAAAUGCAGAAAAUUAUUAUUCAAGGGGAAAAAUUUUGACUGGAGGUUAGAAACAGAAGGUUAAGUUCAGGACAAAAUCUUGUUUUCUCUGACAUCUUCCAAGCUGUGUGAGAAAAGUUUCCCCCCUACACUGGGAACUAUAAAUUUUGAUAUUUUUCAAUAUAAAGAAG
rnacentral:lncRNA from 1 species